rnacentral:rRNA from 1 species
UACGGAGGGGGCGAGCGUUAUUCGGAAUUAUUGGGCGUAAAGGGCGCGUAGGCGGCUUGACAAGUCAAAGGUGAAAUCCCUCGGCUCAACUGAGGAACUGCCUUUGAAACUGUCUGGCUUGAGGCCGGGAGGGGGUAGCGGAAUUCCCAGUGUAGCGGUGAAAUGCGCAGAUAUCAGGAGGAACACCGGUGGCGAAGGCGGGUCUCUGGGAUGAUGCUGACGCUGAGGCGCGAAAGCCAGGGGAGCAAACGGG